GAUGAACGCUGGCGGCGUGCCUAAUACAUGCAAGUCGAGCGCAGCGGGGACGGGUGAGUAACACGUGGAUAACCUCCUCUAAGACUGGGAUAACUUCGGGAAACCGUCGCUAAACCGGAUAAUUAUAGAUGGCUCCGUGCUGCAUUAGCUAGUUGGUAGGUUAACGGCUUACAAAGGCAACGAUGCAUAGCCGACCUGAGAGGUUGAUCGGCCACACUGGAACGGAGACACGGUCCAGCGUCCGACGGGAGGCAGCAGUAGGGAAUCUUCCGCAAUGGGCGAAAGCCUGACGGAGCAACGCCGCGUGAGUGAUGAAGGUCUUCGGAUCGUAAAACUCUGUUAUUAGGGAAGCGGUACCUAAUCAGAAAGCCACGGCUAACUACGUGCCAGCAGCCGCGGUAAUUC
rnacentral:rRNA from 1 species